rnacentral:rRNA from 1 species
AGCAGCCGCGGUAAUUCCAGCUCCAAUAGCGUAUAUUAAAGUUGUUGCAGUUAAAAAGCUCGUAGUUGAAUUUCGGGAUCAGUACGCUGGUCGUGCCUCCGGUAUGUACUGGUGUUACUGAUUCCUCCCUUCUGAAGAACCAUCAUGCCAUUCACUCGGUGUGGUGGGGAAUCAGGACUGUUACUUUGAAAAAUUAGAGUGUUUAAAGUAGGCUCGCGCUUGGAUACAUUAGCAUGGAAUAAUGAAAUAGGACGUUUAUCCUAUUUUGUUGGUUUCUAGGAUUGACGUAAUGAUUAAUAGGGAUAGUCGGGGGCAUUAGUAUUCAAUUGUCAGAGGUGAAAUUCUUGGAUUUAUUGAAGACUAACUACUGCGAAAGCAUUUGCCAAGGAUGUUUUCAUUAAUCAAGAACGAAAGUUAGGGGGAUCGAAGACGAUCAGAUACCGUCGUAGUCUUAACCAUAACUAUGCCGACUAGGGAUCGGAUGAUGUUAAUUUUUAAUGACUCAUUCGGCGCCUUAACC